rnacentral:rRNA from 1 species
UCGCCUGUUUAUCAAAAACAUCGCCUCUUGCAAACUCAAAAAUAAGAGGUCCCGCCUGCCCUGUGACUAUUAGUUUAACGGCCGCGGUAUUUUGACCGUGCGAAGGUAGCGCAAUCACUUGUCUUUUAAAUGGAGACCUGUAUGAAUGGCAUAACGAGGGCUUAGCUGUCUCCUCUUUCAAGUCAAUGAAAUUGAUCUUCCCGUGCAGAAGCGGGAAUAACUACAUAAGACGAGAAGACCCUAUGAAGCUUUAGACACCAAGGCAGAUCAUGUUAAACACCCCUUAACAAAGGACUAAACCAAAUGACCCCUGCCCUAAUGUCUUUGGUUGGGGCGACCGCGGGGAAACAAAAAACCCCCACGUGGAAUGGGAGCACCCCCUCCUAAAACUAAGAGCCGCAGCUCUAGUUAACAGAAUUUCUGACCAAUAAGAUCCGGCAAUGCCGAUCAACGAACCGAGUUACUCUAGGGAUAACAGCGCAAUCCCCUUUUAGAGCCCAUAUCGACAAGGGGGUUUACGACCUCGAUGUUGGAUCAGGACAUCCUAAUGGUGCAGCCGCUAUUAAGGGUUCGUUUGUUCAACGAUUAAAGUCCUACGUGAUCUGAGUUCAGACCGG